rnacentral:lncRNA from 1 species
UUGGAUCGAACAGAAGGCAGGGGCGACAAAGGGUUUCCUUCAAACCCUAGUUUACACACAAAAUCCUUAAAUUGAAGCCUCAAAUCUGCCCUAAAUCAAGUCUUGAACAUGAAUUAGUGAUCACCUCGUUGUAGGGAUCAAAAAGGUAAAGAAUCCGGGUCGUCAAGUGGACAAGCCGGAGGUGAUACACGCUUAAAGGGUGCGCUUUGAAGCAUGGUAAAGAUGCUCUUUAGACCCCGGAGGAUGAUCAAGCCAUGUCAAGAACCGAACACACCGAACAAAGCUUCCGCAUUUUGUCUAUUUUGUUUUAGUGACAUGUAA